rnacentral:rRNA from 1 species
UACGUAGGGGGCUAGCGUUGUCCGGAAUUACUGGGCGUAAAGCGCACGUAGGCGGAUCGAUCAGUCAGGGGUGAAAUCCCAGGGCUCAACCCUGGAACUGCCUUUGAUACUGUCGAUCUGGAGUAUGGAAGAGGUGAGUGGAAUUCCGAGUGUAGAGGUGAAAUUCGUAGAUAUUCGGAGGAACACCAGUGGCGAAGGCGGCUCACUGGUCCAUUACUGACGCUGAGGUGCGAAAGCGUGGGGAGCAAACAGG